UACAGAGGUGGCAAGCGUUGUUCGGAAUUACUGGGCGUAAAGGGCGCGUAGGCGGUUCGUUAAGUCCUGUGUGAAAUCCCCCGGCUCAACUGGGGAACUGCACAGGAAACUAGCGGGCUUGAGUUCGGGAGAGGGAAGCGGAAUUCCGGGUGUAGCGGUGAAAUGCGUAGAUAUCUACUGGAACGCCGAUGGUGAAGACGCUCGGCUGGGCCUGUCCUGACGCUGAGGCACGAAAGCGUGGGGAGCAAACAGG
rnacentral:rRNA from 1 species